rnacentral:rRNA from 1 species
GUGCCAGCAGCCGCGGUAAUACGUAGGUGGCAAGCGUUAUCCGGAAUUAUUGGGCGUAAAGCGCGCGUAGGCGGUUUUUUAAGUCUGAUGUGAAAGCCCACGGCUCAACCGUGGAGGGUCAUUGGAAACUGGAAAACUUGAGUGCAGAAGAGGAAAGUGGAAUUCCAUGUGUAGCGGUGAAAUGCGCAGAGAUAUGGAGGAACACCAGUGGCGAAGGCGACUUUCAGGUCUGUAACUGACGCUGAUGUGCGAAAGCGUGGGGAUCAAACAGGAUUAGAUA